GUCUCAGUUCAGAUUGCAGGCUGCAACCCGCCUGCAUGAAGUCGGAAUUGCUAGUAAUCGCGGAUCGGCAUGCCGCGGUGAAUACGUUCCCGGGCCUUGUACACACCGCCCGUCACACCAUGGGAGCCGGUAAUACCCGAAGUCAGUAGUCCAACCUCGUGAGGACGCUGCCGAAGGUAGGAUUGGCGACUGGGGUGAAGUCGUAACAAGGUACC
rnacentral:rRNA from 1 species